rnacentral:misc_RNA from 1 species
AAGUCGUAACAAGGUAACCGUAGGUGAACCUGCGGUUGGAUCAUUAGUGAAAUCGAGGGAGUUUUAAAUGACCUCUUAGUUUGGGGAUUUCCCCUUACUUGACCCAUUGUGAAUUGUUAUAGUCACUGGUUCUUUUAAUUUUAUUAAUUGGGCCAGUCAAUGACUUCAAAGUCAAGAAACCUAGUCUUACUAAAGUUAUCAUUUAUAUUCAAAUGAAACAACUUUUGACAACGGAUCUCUUGGCUCUC